UAGGAUUCUUUUUUUCCUUGUGUUUCAUCCAAUUUUUGGAUCUUGAUGUGAAGCAAUGCCAUAUUUCUUGAUCUGAUUUGUGUCCAAACUAGGGUUCUUGAUCUAAUUUGUGUCCAUGUUGUGUGUUCGAUCAUCUCUAUUCAUCGAUUCGUUGUUGGCCGGGGAGAUCUCCGAGUUUUGGGCUGCCUGCAGAUGCCGGCGACGGGGAACAAGCAGGGAUGCCUGCUCCUGAGGCAUGGGCGUGGCGACGGGAACGUGCGGGCUGGGCCAAUGCCCAGUUUUUUUUUUAAAUGUGAAAAAUGAUAUCAGUGUCGGUCCCUACAAGGCCCGCCACUGAUGUGCAUAACAUCAGCAACGGGCUGACCGCCCGUCACUGAUGUACCCCACAUUACUGGCAGGAAGUGAGUGACGGACGGUCUGCCCGUUAGUGAUAGCCAUUUUUGACCGUUAUUGAUAAACGUUUUUGUAGCAGUGAAGGGUUUCCCCCAUUAUGGAGCCAACACCACACCUCCACGGCAGGCGACAUCCACCAGCAGCUA
rnacentral:lncRNA from 1 species